UGCGUAGGCGGUUUGUUAAGUCUGUCGUGAAAGCCCUGGGCUCAACCUGGGAAUUGCGAUGGAUACUGGCAAGCUAGAGUACGGUAGAGGAUGGUGGAAUUCCCGGUGUAGCGGUGAAAUGCGUAGAGAUCGGGAGGAACACCCGUGGCGAAGGCGGCCAUCUGGACCAGUACUGACGCUGAGGCACGAAAGCGUGGGGAGCAAACAGGAUUAGAUACCCUGGUAGUCCACGCCCUAAACGAUGCGAACUGGAUGUUGGGCACACUUAGGUGCUCAGUGUCGAAGCUAACGCGUUAAGUUCGCCGCCUGGGGAGUACGGUCGCAAGACUGAA
rnacentral:rRNA from 1 species